CCACCAUUCCAAGCACAAACUCUCAUUAUUAUUAUCCAAAGCCACCAAUAUCAAACGCGGAUAAAGCUAAAUCACUUAACGAGAGGAGGAGGACGUUCACUCGUCCUAAGAUGUCACCUGCUCUCUACGCCACUCCUGACGCAAUCCCGCUACCUAACUCCCCAUCUUCCUUCCCGCCGUCGCCUUAUAUCAUCAACCACAAGUCCCGCGGGCCGCCAAGGCUUUUGAAGAGCUCUUAUGUUUAUGGUAAUUCAAGAAACCCGGUUCAAGAUGCGAAGACGCCGACGUCAAAACCAACAGGUGGUUCUGUUCGUCCUUUGCUAAAUUUAUUCAAUGUUCGUUUUCAGAGGAAGAAGAAGAAGAGUUUGGGGACGGCGAAACCAACGGGUGGUUCUGUUCAUCCUUUGCUAAGUUUAUUUCGUUUUCAGAGGAAAAAGAAGAAGACCAAGAAUAAGAAGAGUUUGGCUACGGCGAAACCAGAGUUUGCAAGGUAUAUGGAGUAUGUGAAGGAAGGAGGUGUGCGGGAUCCGAAUUCUAACGCACCUGUGAUUCAUUACAGAUAGAAUCAAUGAAGGAAGGAUGAAUAAAGACGUUCUAUAUUGUUUUAUAUAUAUGUAUGAGGGAAAAAACCAUUGUGAAGGAUCCAACAUGUAAAUCGGUUGUCAAGAACCCUCAUGAGUCCUAUAUUUUGUUUCUAAAGAUAUUUUCACUUUUUUGGGGAUCUCUACAAACCUUUGCUUUAUCAAGCUUUCUAUUUGUACCUUUGUUCAUUAUCUUAUAAUGAACAAUUCACAUUUUAUCAUAAAAAGAAAAGUAAAAAUAAAAAACAAAACCAUUUCUGUGCUCCGAUUCAAAAGAUGGAUCCCAACUAUGAACUUGUCAUUUUUACUAACUCAUGUAGGGGUGAAGAUCUAUUUUCUCCUUCGGAACUAUCAUAGAGCAGAGAUCAGUCCACACAGAGUUAAGAUAUCAUUUUUCAGAAAUCAGAUUGUAAACGAAUGUGAAAGUGUUGGUGGAAUCGAAAGAGAGUAUGAAUAGAAUGUGUAUUCUCGUUGUAACUGGUUGUGUAAUGUUGGUUGCUCUGAUGAAAGUUAUAGGUUAAUUCAUGUUUUUUUUGGUAAUCUUAAUUCAUGUUGAUUGCUCUCAUGUUGUCACAUGUGUGUUAUCUUUCAUGUUGUUGCUUUAUAUGUUGAAUGGCUUUGUUAUGUGGUAAUGAAAUGAUGUUGUGUUAUAAAGCCAAAAGAGAUCUUAGAUUAAAUAUAACCAACCUAUGUCUUAGUCUUAGAUGUUCAUACAUGAAAAUGAGAAAUUUGAACAAUAUAUUUUAAAUGUUCAAAGUAGAACAGAAUGACAUCCUCAAUAUCUGAAACAAACAGAAUGACACAUACAAAAGGAGAGAGACGGGUAAAACAUGCUUUGAUUUUAUUUUAUAAAGAUAUAUUAAUGAGAAUCGAAUACAUUCGUUGUUGAUUAUAUAGGAGGUCCAUAGUUGUUUGCUUUGAAUCAUGUUCUAAAUUCUAGAUUUCUUAGCUUUUUAGCUAUAAAUUUAAAAUAAAAGAAAGUUAAAAAUGGCAAAUGCAUUUGAUUUCUUCUUCUCACCAAACAUUAAGAAGAGAAAGAUAGUCUCCUCUUUUAUAAUUUUCUAAGAACAAUUGUUUUUUAUCAAUUGUCUGAAAACUCUUUUGUUUGCAUUGGGUCAUGUUUAGGAAUUGGCUCCAAAAAAUAUCAAAUUCCAGAUUAGGAGAAGACAAAAAUAGUAUUUACACAUAGUAUUUUAAUUCAAAAUGGGCUUUACAGAUUCGUGAAAAGACAAAUUGGGCCAUGGGGUCAAAAGGUAAUAAAACCAAAACUUGCUUUAGGACCUAAUGUCGCCACGUCAACGCUUUUAAGACGUAACUGAAUAUUCGUGAUAGGACAAGUUCAUAUAAGACCCACUUAGCAAGAUCCCUUACACGACAUCGUUUCAUCUACUCUCGAAACCCUACCGUUGAUUAAUUUACACAUAAUACCCCCUCUUUAUGGCGCCUACCUUCCUCGUUACGACGUUACCCAUACCGCCAGAGGCUAAACUCGUCUUUUCAACUCUCUCUCUCUCUCUAAAACACACGUUUUAUCUAAAAUGUUCGACGACCAAGCGGAGAUGAUUAAUUUAAAAAUAAAGAUAAAAAAAAAAACGAAUCUGUUCAGAAACUGGUCGCCAAGAAUAGGGGAAGCUUUUCAAAAUCAAAUAAAAGCGUGAGGUCUCUCGUUUGCAUCUUCCUCCUCUUCCUCUCCAUCUCUUAUACGAUGCCGUAUCACUCUUCUACCAAUCCUCUCGUCUAAACCAGGAUCCACCGUUGGAUCCGUUCACCUUCUUCCCCGUGGAGAUCUCCUUCGCGCCUGAGGUAGUUGUUCUUUUGUUCCCCCUUUGCGUUUGAGAGAUUCGAUCGACUUCUCGACUUAGACCUCUUUGUUAGCUUCUAGAUUCUCGAUUUGUACGAGCUUAGUCCUCGUUUUUAGAUUCUCGCGAGCUGUUUUCUUCAUAUACUCUUCGAGAAAUCUCAGCUGAAUGAAGUUUUCGUUAGGUAUAUAGCUUUGUGAUUGCGACGGUGUUGAUUGAUUUGUACCUUCUCAAUUAGCUGAUUUGAACUUGUGAUCCGUUAGAUAAUCCAAGAGUUUUCAUGAUGCAGAGCCACCAUGCCUACUUUCUCUGCGAUUGCUUUAGAUAGAAUGAUAGAGCCAGGGGCAUCCACAUCUGCCAAUACCACCAUUCCAAGCACAAACUCUCAUUAUUAUUAUCCAAAGCCACCAAUAUCAAACGCGGAUAAAGCUAAAUCACUUAACGAGAGGAGGAGGACGUUCACUCGUCCUAAGAUGUCACCUGCUCUCUACGCCACUCCUGACGCAAUCCCGCUACCUAACUCCCCAUCUUCCUUCCCGCCGUCGCCUUAUAUCAUCAACCACAAGUCCCGCGGGCCGCCAAGGCUUUUGAAGAGCUCUUCCGAGGCUAAUGUGGCUUCCCAGCAGAAGACAGUGGAAGAUGAAGCUGCA
rnacentral:lncRNA from 1 species